rnacentral:rRNA from 1 species
GACGAACGCUGGCGGCAUGCCUAACACAUGCCAGUCGAACGAGACCUUCGGGUCUAGUGGCGCACGGGUGCGUAACGAGUGGGAACCAGCACUUAGGUACGGUAUAACUGCCUGAAAGGGGAGUUAAUACCGGAUAAUCUCUUCGGACCUAAGAUCUAUUGCCGUUGGAUGGGCCCGGGUUAGAUUGGGUAGUUGGUAGGGUACUAGCCUGCCAAGGCCACGAUGCUUAGCUGGUCGGUGAGGAUGACCCGGCACACUGGGAAUGCGACACGGCCCAGGCUCCUACGGGAGGGAGCAGUGUGGAGUAUUAUGCGAUGAGCGAAAGCGUGAUCCAGCAAUGCCGCGUAAGUGAUGCAGGCCUUAGGAAUGUAAAGCUCUUUUACCCGAGAUGAGAAUGACAGUACCGGGAGAAUAAGCACCGGCUAACUCCGUG